CGAGCUUUCUUUUUCUCACGAUACUUGCGAACGGCUUCCUUAUUACCCACGGGUCGUUUCUUUCCUUUCUUCUCUGAAGACUCUGCAGUAUCAUCACUGGGGUUCUUAUCCUCGUCUUCCUCCGAGGGAGGCAUGAAUUUGGUGUGAACAUGGUAACAAGUGUGCGUAUGAGAAUUAUCAGGGCCAGGCGAUCCUCCUCUGAGGGAGGCACGAAUUUGGUGUGAACAUGGUAACAAGUGUGUGUAUGAGAAUUAUCAGGGCCAGGCGGGUUGCAAGUGUGGGCAUGAGUGCAGGCAUGCGUAUCCUUGAGAAUCUCAUUGAAAAAGCUGUCCAUGGAACUACU
rnacentral:lncRNA from 1 species